UUUAUCUUUUAAUUACUUUUCUUUUUUCUCUUAGUUCCUCUUUCUUGUUUCAAUGGCGAAUCCACUGCCGGAUUCGCUACAGCAGUGAGAAAUUGCUAAAGUUAAAAAGUAUUAAGGCAGCAAAUACAGGUACGUGAAAUCGACUUGAACCGCAAGAAAUUUCGAUCCAGAAGGUGCUCUGUUAGAAACCUAUUUCAAGUGUGGAGUAGAUCAAGAAAUGGAAGAUGAAUGCACCUUACUUAAGAUGAAUUUUGAAUUGUUAUAGAUGAAUAUUCUAGGAAUCUUUUGUUUAUCAAAAAUUUGAAACUUACUCUUUUGAAAUUUAUAUUAAACUUAUGCACUUGGGGUAAUAUUUUGAUUUAUGGAUAUUACUAGCUUUUUGGACAACAUAGAUUAUUAAUAGUUUCAUUUUGUGAUUUA